ACUCCUACGGGAGGCAGCAGUGGGGAAUAUUGCACAAUGGGGGAAACCCUGAUGCAGCCAUGCCGCGUGUGUGAAGAAGGCCUUCGGUUGUAAAGCACUUUCAGUAGGGAGGAAGGUAGUGUAGUUAACACCUGCAUUAUUUGACGUUACCUACAGAAGAAGCACCGGCUAACUCCGUGCCAGCAGCCGCGGUAAUACGGAGGGGUGCGAGCGUUAAUCGGAAUUACUGGGCGUAAAGCGCAUGCAGGCGGCCUGUUAAGUCAGAUGUGAAAGCCCGGGGGCUUAACCUCGGAAUUGCAUUUGAAACUGGCAGGCUAGAGUCUUGUAGAGGGGGUAGAAGUUUCAGGUGUAGCGGUGAAAUGCGUAGAGAUCUGAAGGAAUACCGAGUGGCGAAGGCGGCCCCCUGGACAAAGACUGACGCUCAGAUGCGAAAGGCGUGGGGAGCGAAACGAGGAUUAGAUACCCUGGUAGACUGUCA
rnacentral:rRNA from 1 species